rnacentral:rRNA from 1 species
UACCAGCACCCCGAGUGGUCGGGACGAUUAUUGGGCCUAAAGCAUCCGUAGCCGGUUCUACAAGUCUUCCGUUAAAUCCACCUGCUUAACAGAUGGGCUGCGGAGGAUACUAUGGAGCUAGGAGGCGGGAGAGGCAAGCGGUACUUAGUGGGUAGGGGUAAAAUCCGUUGAUCCAUUGAAGACCACCAGUGGCGAAGGCGGCUUGCCAGAACGCACUCGACGGUGAGGGAUGAAAGCUGGGGGAGCAAACGAGG